AGCGGAGGAAAAGAAACUAACAAGGAUUCCCCUAGUAACGGCGAGUGAACAGGGAAGAGCUCAAAUUUGAAAUCUGGCGUGCUCAGUGCGUCCGAGUUGUAAUCUAUAGAGACGUUUUCCGUGCCGGACCGUGUCCAAGUUCCUUGGAACAGGAUAUCAAAGAGGGUGACAAUCCCGUACUUGACACGACCCCCGGUGCUCUGUGAUACGUCCUCUACGAGUCGAGUUGUUUGGGAAUGCAGCUCAAAAUGGGUGGUGAGUUCCAUCUAAAGCUAAAUAUUGGCGAGAGACCGAUAGCGAACAAGUACCGUGAGGGAAAGAUGAAAAGCACUUUGGAAAGAGAGUUAAACAGUACGUGAAAUUGUUAAAAGGGAAACGAUUGAAGUCAGUCGUGUCCGGGAGGCUCAGCCGAUCUUCGGUGUAUUCCUCUCGGACGGGUCAACAUCAGUUUUGUCCGGCGGAUAAGGGUGGCGGGAAUGUAGCACCUUCUUGGUGUGUUAUAGCCCGUCAUCGCAUACGUUGGGUGAGACUGAGGAAUGCAGCUCGCCUUCAUUGGCCGGGGUUCGCCCACGUUCGAGCUUAGGAUGUUGACGUAAUGGCUUUAAACGACCCG
rnacentral:rRNA from 1 species